CUCCCUGCGAGAGAGGCGAGAGAGACUGCUCUUCAAGUAGCCGCAGGGCAAGGGCAAGGGCAAGAGGACAGGAGGGUGUGAGACUAGCUGAGCACCGCGGAGGCAGAACGAUGGGAAGGGCUGGAUGCCACGCUCCAGGUUUUGUUCUGCUUUAAAUUGGACCGCGUUCUUCCUCAAAUUUCCAAGAGUAUCCUGUGUGGUAUCUGGUAUACGGCAGGCCCUCAAAAUAUACUCAGUUGAACAACCACGUCAUGUCCUUAGCCAUUGAGACCACACACUUGGGUAGAAAAUGGCUCUACGAUGGAUUCUGGGAGCACAGAUUACUUCUGACUUGGCCACUGGUCUGUUUCCAUCUAAUGAGGUCCCAUCAGUCCCUCAGCCUAGGCUGGACUCUGCCUUGGAGAACGUUCUCAGGCUCUCCUGUCAGAGCUGACAGAAUCAGACCACAGCUGAAAUACCUAGGUGAAUCUGAAAACUGCUUCUCUGGCCUCUAUUAUAGGUACUGACCACAACAUUCCAGGAUUUACGCUGCUUGAUUAUGGGGGAGAUGACUGGUAGAAUGAUGUGUUUCGGGGUAGAAACGACAGCCGUUUUCUUUUUUUGAAGUAAAGGCCUCUGAACACAUCACCCACCCAUACACUUCGCCCACUGGGUCCCUUUCCACCUCAUACUUACAAUUUGCUCUUGAGCCUGCGGCGUGCUGGUGGCACCAUUCAGUAGCCACUGUAAGUUCUGCUCUCCCAUGACCAGGCUGGGCUGCAGGAUAGCCGCACUGGGAGUCGGGGUGAUGGUUAUAGUGGGAUUACUGGUUAGGACAGAAUUGGCAUCCAGGGGCAGAGUCUGGACCAUGGCUGGCAGGGGCUCAGUAGUACUUUGUGGUUGGGGUGGUGCUGCCAUGGCUGAUGCCACUGCCGCUGCUGACGCCAAGGCCCCAGCAACAACAGAGAGUCCUGGUACGAUGGGCUGCGGUGCCUGGAGGCGCGGAAGAAACUCUUGAUGAUUGGCAGCAAACUGCGUGCUGUGGGCAACAGGCGCUUCUGGAGGUUGUGAGAGAGCAGGGGGGUUGCCAAAUGCAGCUUGCUGGGAGCCAGUUCCUAGGGAGGGAGCAGGCAGAGGAGCAGAUGCUGCUGAGGCUGGUAGUAGAGGCUGGGGUGGCUCGGGGAUGCCAGGCUGCAGUAUAAGUGGAAGAGAUAAAGAUGCUGAAUGUCUUGUGGAUGGCGG